AUGGGGACAGGGAUGGGGACAGGGACACAGGCUCUGCUCCCCUCCAUGCAGCAUGCCCGUCACCAUCCUGCCUUGGAAAGGGCUCUUUGCAGCCAGAGAACCCACACAGGGGGGGGUCUGCAGCCCCUCCUGGUCCCUGGUCCCCAGGGGGCUCAGCCGAUAUGCCAGCAGGCAGGGAGCAGGCAGGGAACAGGCAGGGUGCAGGCAGGGAGCAGGCAGGGAGCAGGCAGGGUGCAGGCAGGAGCAGGCAGGGAGCAGGCAGGGUGCAGGCAGGGAGCAGGCAGGGAGCAGGCAGGGUGCAGGCAGGAGCAGGCAGGGAGCAGGCAGGGUGCAGGCAGGGAGCAGGCAGGGAGCAGGCAGGGUGCAGGCAGGAGCAGGCAGGGAGCAGGCAGGGAGCAGGCAGGGUGCAGGCAGGGAGCAGGCAGGGUGCAGGCAGGGAGCAGGCAGGAGCAGGCAGGGAGCAGGCAGGGUGCAGGCAGGGAGCAGGCAGGGUGCAGGCAGCUGCCUCUUCCCUCUACCACGUCCCCAUCACACGCUUUUUGGCUGCAGCAGAGGUGCUGGGGGUCCAAGGCAUCCAAAACACCUGGAGGCAGAGCAACCUGCCCCCCGCACACAGCUCCUCCCCGGGGCUGGUGCCCAGCACCCCACAGGGGACCCCAGAGCCCGGGUAGGGCACCCCCAUCCCACAGCGCACCCCGAGGCCGCUUUACUGGGGGUUGCACGUUUAAUGGCGGUGUCGCUGCGAAGGCAAAGCUCUGGCAAAGGCAGAAAGAGCCGGGAGACGCAGGGACCCGCUGGGCACCCGGGGGGACCCGCAUUGUCCCUCUCGCCCUUCCCAGGCCCUGGGGAGCCGCGGGAGGGAUGCGGCUGGUGCGGAUGCUGCGGGAGGGAUGCAGUUGGUGGGGAUGCUGCUGGAGCAGCGCCGGCCCAAAGCUCUGCAGCCCCUCUGCCAGGGGCAGGGGACAGCGAAACGGGGCUGUCUGUGCCCGCGGGGGGACAGGGCACGGCUGGCUGUGGGAGCUGCCUGUGCCCGCAGUGUGGGCAGCGCCAGCCCUCUCUGCAUUGCAGCAGCCUCCUGCCUGCACAGGGUCGGUGGCCGUGUCCCCAGCCCCCACCGAGGGCAGAGACACCCCCCCCUGCAAAUGCUGGCAGCGGCACGAGCUGCCCGGUGGGUGA
rnacentral:lncRNA from 1 species